rnacentral:rRNA from 1 species
AGUGAACGCUGGCGGUAGGCCUAACACAUGCAAGUCGAACGGCAGCACAGGGGAGCUUGCUCUCUGGGUGGCGAGUGGCGGACGAGUGAGGAAUACAUCGGAAUCUACUUUUUCGUGGGGGAUAACGUAGGGAAACUUACGCUAAUACCGCAUACGACCUACGGGUGAAAGCAGGGGAUCUUCGGACCUUGCGCGAUUGAAUGAGCCGAUGUCGGAUUAGCUAGUUGGCGGGGUAAAGGCCCACCAAGGCGACGAUCCGUAGCUGGUCUGAGAGGAUGAUCAGCCACACUGGAACUGAGACACGGUCCAGACUCCUACGGGAGGCAGCAGUGGGGAAUAUUGGACAAUGGGCGCAAGCCUGAUCCAGCCAUACCGCGUGGGUGAAGAAGGCCUUCGGGUUGUAAAGCCCUUUUGUUGGGAAAGAAAUCCAGCUGGUUAAUACCCGGUUGGGAUGACGGUACCCAAAGAAUAAGCACCGGCUAACUUCGUGCCAGCCGCCGCGGUAA